GACGAACGCUGGCGGCGUGCUUAACACAUGCAAGUCGAACGGAAAGGCCCUGCUUUUGUGGGGUGCUCGAGUGGCGAACGGGUGAGUAACACGUGAGUAACCUGCCCUUGACUUUGGGAUAACUUCAGGAAACUGGGGCUAAUACCGGAUAGGAGCUCCUGCUGCAUGGUGGGGGUUGGAAAGUUUCGGCGGUUGGGGAUGGACUCGCGGCUUAUCAGCUUGUUGGUGGGGUAGUGGCUUACCAAGGCUUUGACGGGUAGCCGGCCUGAGAGGGUGACCGGCCACAUUGGGACUGAGAGACGGCCCAGACUCCUACGGGAGGCAGCAGUGGGGAAUAUUGCACAAUGGGCGGAAGCCUGAUGCAGCAACGCCGCGUGCGGGAUGACGGCCGUCGGGUUGUAAACCGCUUUCGCCUGUGACGAAGCGUGAGUGACGGUAAUGGGUAAAGAAGCACCGGCUAACUACGUG
rnacentral:rRNA from 1 species